GACGAAUGCUUGCGGCGUGCUUAACACAUGCAAGUCGAACCGUGAAGCGCCUUCCUUUUUGGUGGGUGUGGCUGAGUGGCGAACGGGUGAGUAACACGUGAGUAACCUGCCCCCUUCUUCUGGAUAACCGCAUGAAAGUGUGGCUAAUACGGGAUAUUCUGGGUCUGUCGCAUGAUGGGUCUGGGAAAGAUCUUGUUUCGGUGUGGGAUGGGCUAGCGGCCUAUCAGCUUGUUGGAGGGGUGAUGGCCUACACAGGCGGUGACUGGUGACCGGUGUAAUCGGGAGGACGGAGACACUGAGAAUGGGACACGGCGCAGACAUCUGAGGGGGGAGACAGAGGGGAAUGUUGGACAAUGGGCGAAAGCCUGAGGCAGUGACGCAACGUGAGGGAUGGAGGCCUUCGGGUGGUGAACCUCUGGCGCCAGUGAAGCAGGCCUGCCUCGGUUGUGGGUGGGUGGACGGUAGCUGGAUAAGAAGCGCGGGCUAACUACGUG
rnacentral:rRNA from 1 species